AACGAACGCUGGCGGCAUGCCUAACACAUGCAAGUCGAACGAGACCUUCGGGUCUAGUGGCGCACGGGUGCGUAACGCGUGGGAACCUGCCCUUAGGUUCGGAAUAACUCCCCGAAAGGGGUGCUAAUACCGGAUAAUGUCUUCGGUCCAAAGUUUUAUCGCCUUUGGAUGGGCCCGCGUUGGAUUAGCUAGUUAGUAGGGUAAAAGCGUACCAAGGCGACGAUCCAUAGCUGGUCUGAGAGGAUGAUCAGCCACACUGGGACUGAGACACGGCCCAGACUCCUACGGGAGGCAGCAGUGGGGAAUAUUGGACAAUGGGCGAAAGCCUGAUCCAGCAAUGCCGCGUGAGUGAUGAAGGCCUUAGGGUUGUAAAGCUCUUUUACCCGGGAUGAUAAUGACAGUACCGGGAGAAUAAGCUCCGGCUAACUCCGUG
rnacentral:rRNA from 1 species